rnacentral:rRNA from 1 species
CUAUGUUAUCCAAAAUAUGAAGGGGGUAUGUGAUUCCGGGAUCUUCACUCUUCCAGUCUCGCAAUGUUGUCAAAGAAAUGUUGGAGAUUGAUUACUAAUCCAGACUCUCUUUCUGCUGAAAUGCUAAAAGCUAAAUAUUAUCCUAAUGGGAUCCUAUUGCAGGUAAGUUUUAAAGAAUGGUUCACCUUUUGCAUGCCACGGUAUAAUGAAGGGGCUAGAAACGUUUAA